rnacentral:rRNA from 1 species
UCCGUAGGUGANACCUGCGGAAGGAUCAUUAUCGUUCCUUCACACGCACCAUGUGUACUGUUUUGUACCUCCUCGGAAUGGUGACUUGUCACCAUUCUUUGGCACCCCGCCUCUGGCGGUAACUGAGGCUGAGGUUUACCUCGCCUUCCCUCUGGAUGCGACUCUGUCGCUCCGUGAUAUAACAUAAAUCACACAACUCGCUUCGAUGGAUAUCUUGGCAUGAGCAACGAUGAAGAACGCAGCGAAAUGCGAUACGUAGUGCGAAUUGCAGAAUUCAGUGAAUCAUCGAGACUUUGAACGCAAAUGGCACUUCCAGCUUCCGGCUGGAAGUACACUUCCUCCAGUGGCGCCACCACCCCCCUCGGGCGCGCCUCGCGCGCCGGGAUGCGGCUGCUGCUCGGCUCUGCUGAGUGCCAGCUUAGGUGUUGGUGCGACAGUUGUGCACGUGAUGGGUUCAUACUUUGUAUGAGCUUAUCGCCCAAUGAGCUAACACGUUUCGUGAUUCACAUUGGUUAUGCGUGUGCAACUGGCGUUGGUGAGUGAGACUUCUCGCUUUACCGCCCAAAUGCUUCUGCAUUUUCUUAUCGCCAUGGAGUGACGUGAGGCUACCCGCUGAACUUAAGCAUAUCAAUA